UACGGAGGGUGCGAGCGUUGUCCGGAAUCACUGGGCGUAAAGAGCUCGUAGGCGGUUUGUUGCGUCGGCUGUGAAAUCCCGAGGCUCAACCUCGGGUCUGCAGUCGAUACGAGCAAACUAGAGUGUUGCAGGGGAGACUGGAAUUCCUGGUGUAGCGGUGAAAUGCGCAGAUAUCAGGAGGAACACCGGUGGCGAAGGCGGGCCUCUGGGCAGCAACUGACGCUGAGGAGCGAAAGCGUGGGGAGCGAACAGG
rnacentral:rRNA from 1 species